CAGUAGCCGCGGUAAUACGAAGGGUGCAAGCGUUAAUCGGAAUUACUGGGCGUAAAGCGUGCGUAGGCGGUUUGUUAAGUCUGUUGUGAAAUCCCCGGGCUCAACCUGGGAAUGGCAAUGGAUACUGGCAAGCUAGAGUGUGUCAGAGGAUGGUGGAAUUCCCGGUGUAGCGGUGAAAUGCGUAGAGAUGUGGAGGAACACCGAUGGCGAAGGCAGCCCCCUGGGCCAAUACUGACGCUCAUGCACGAAAGCGUGGGGAGCAAACAGGAUUAGAUACCCGUGUAGUCCCUGUCUCUUAUAC
rnacentral:rRNA from 1 species